rnacentral:rRNA from 1 species
GAUGAACGCUGGCGGCGUGCCUAAUACAUGCAAGUCGAGCGAACGGACGAGAAGCUUGCUUCUCUGAUGUUAGCGGCGGACGGGUGAGUAACACGUGGAUAACCUACCUAUAAGACUGGGAUAACUUCGGGAAACCGGAGCUAAUACCGGAUAAUAUUUUGAACCGCAUGGUUCAAAAGUGAAAGACGGUCUUGCUGUCACUUAUAGAUGGAUCCGCGCUGCAUUAGCUAGUUGGUAAGGUAACGGCUUACCAAGGCAACGAUGCAUAGCCGACCUGAGAGGGUGAUCGGCCACACUGGAACUGAGACACGGUCCAGACUCCUACGGGAGGCAGCAGUAGGGAAUCUUCCGCAAUGGGCGAAAGCCUGACGGAGCAACGCCGCGUGAGUGAUGAAGGUCUUCGGAUCGUAAAACUCCGUUAUUAGGGAAGAACAUAUGUGUAAGUAACUGUGCACAUCUUGACGGUACCUAAUCAGAAAGCCACGGCUAACUACGAG